GAUGAACGUUGGCGGCGUGCCUUAUACAGGCAAGUCGAGUGAACAGACGUGGAGCUUGCUCCUCUGACGUUAGCGGCGGAAGGGUCAGUAAUACGUGGAUAACCUACCUAUAAGACUGAGAUAUCUUCGGGAAACCGGAGCUAAUACCGGACAAUAUAUUGAACCGCAUGGUUCAAUAGUGAAAGACGGUUUUGCUGUCACUUAUAGAUGGAUCCGCGCCGCAUUAGCUAGUUGGUAAGGUAACGGCUUACCAAGGCAACGAUGCGUAGCCGACCUGAGAGGGUGCGCGGCCGCACGGGACCUGAGACACGGUCCAGACUCCUACGGGAGGCAGCCGUAGGGAAUCUUCCGCAAUGGGCGUAAGCUUGACGGAGCAACGCCGCGUGAGUGAUGAAGGUCUUCGGAUCGUAACACUCUGUUAGGAGGGACGAACAAAUGUGUAAGUAACUAUGCACGUCUUGACGAUACCUAAUCAGAAAGCCGCGGCGAACUACGUG
rnacentral:rRNA from 1 species